UUAUGAUCCUACAUGACAUAUAAUCCUGUUUGUUUCUAGGCUUCAUAUUCAUUAACUGCACCAUCAAUGGGACAACAAUAGCUAAAUGGGUGUAUCAAGAAAAUAACACCCUGUGUGUUGAACCAACAACUGUCCCUCCAACAACUAAACAUAGUAGUGUGGGUAAGGAGACACAGUCAAUUUCCUUACCUCAUAAUCCUGAGAACCAUAAUCAACCUUGGUACAUUAGGCUAUUGCCAAUAAUAGCUGGCGUUCUCACAGCAUUGGUAAUUAUCUUGAUGGUCUGCAUCGCAUUCAUCUGUUACUUCAAGAAAAAGAAAAGCCCCAGAGCGGUGGAGGAAGAUGACCAGGAACUGACCUAUGCUGAUGUUAGGGUUGUGAAAAAUCAGGGAAAGAAAGUGGAGCUAAGUGCGGACGUUGAUGUGGAGUACGGCCAGGUCAAGUUUUCAAAGAGACAGAGACCAGAGCGGGCUAACCCAAUAGUGGAGGAUACUUUAUAUGCACAAGUAAACAAAGGAAGGUGAUUUAAAAUGUCCAACAAGCCUAUUUCUGCAUGUUACCUAAAAGACUUUUCUUGGAUUACCUGUUAAAAAUACAAGUCAGGAGCUUUUUAAUGGAGGCAUGGGCAGCUGUCUCGCCUUCCACACAGUCUGGGCCUCAAAUUCCCCACCUUAUAUCCUCUUUCUGUCUUUUACACCGAUGAAUGAAGGACAGUAUUACCACAAAAAAAAAAAAAAAACUUUAACAGAGUGACUUAUUAUACCUGAAGCUGCUUUUUUGUCAAAGCAUCGAUUAAUUUGUGUUUGAACUCAUCAUAAAAGCGAUGCCUGCUUCUUUAUGAUAAAAGUUUUUGAGCUACAACAUGUAAAAAAAACCCACUUGAAAUGAAAUUUUUUCAGUUGUUUUUAUUUUUAAAUUGUAUUUACAUUAGUAAAUUAUUGUUACAUCAACACAUUAAAAUAUCUUUAUGUAAUACUUUUUAAUUUAAUACCUGUUUGAUAAAUAGUACUUGUAAAUAAUACUACC